ACAGCAGCCGCCACGGUAAUACGGAGGGUGCAAGCGUUAAUCGGAAUUACUGGGCGUAAAGCGCACGCAGGCGGUCUGACAAGUCAGAUGUGAAAUCCCCGGGCUUAACCUGGGAACUGCAUUUGAAACUGUCAGGCUGGAGUCUUGUAGAGGGGGGUGGAAUUCCAGGUGUAGCGGUGAAAUGCGUAGAGAUCUGGAGGAAUACCGGUGGCGAAGGCGGCCCCCUGGACAAAGACUGACGCUCAGGUGCGAAAGCGUGGGGAGCAAACAGGAUUAGAGACCCCGGUAGUCCCUGUCUCUUAUAC
rnacentral:rRNA from 1 species